GGGCUUACUAGAUACAGGGCGGAGUUUUUCAAGGGGAGAAUUAGAUAAUUCUGCUCUGUGACUGCAAGCUAAGGUAGUUCUCAGGGCCUUGCCCUUUAACUUAUCCUAUCACUAUAACUGAAUAAAGAGCUGACCUAGCUCAGAUCUUUGACAGUAAUCGUGCGUGAGCAGUUUGGCCAAGAUCUAGUGUUGUACUUUCUGCCAGGUCACAGGGAGAGAAACCUUGAGGUCUUUUCAUUUCUUACAUCUUACCUGUGCAACAGCAAGACAGCUUAGUCAGUGCUGAACAAAUGCCAUGAUCUGACUAAGGAUUUAUACACCACAAGGGAAAUGUCCUCUUUCAGACACUGUGAUUUUCUGGGCAGUUCUUUUAGACUCUAGAGCCACAGAAGUCAGUGGAAGCCCUGCCACAAAUUGCAGGGUCCAUCCCCUUGGUAUCAACCUUGAAGAAAUCCUCUGUGUUGCUCCUACUGGGCCAUCAGUAAAGGCACUCUAGGAGAAACCCCUUUGAGCCAGCUCCAGUUACUCAGUUAUCCCAUCUCUUUCAUAGACCAAAACUAAAUGGCCUCUUUGCCGCUUCGCUCUUCCAUGGAACUUAAAUGUAUCAGUUAAAGCAAUUAUAAAGUUUUGUCAGAGAUAUCCCGUUUGUAUCAAAAACAUGUCAAAGACACCUAGGCAAUUCCUCUGCAUGGUGUGUCUGGUUUAGAGUCCACCCUUUCAGCCAGACAAGUGUCUGCUCUGAAUCUCAACAUGAUAAAGAGGUCAGGAAUAAGCAAUAGUUACUGUUACUGCAGGGACACAGCUUAAGUGGCUAUGUGUUCAACUAGAAACUCACAUAAGAUCAGAGCAAAUGACAUGAAGCUGUGUCAGAGGAGGUUUAGAUUGGAUAUUAGGAAGAAGUUCUUCACCCAGAGGGUGAUUGGGCUCCGGAGCAGGAUCCCCAGAAGAGUGGUCAUAGCACCAGCCUGACAGAGUUCAAGAAGCAUUUGGACAAGUUUCUCAGGGACGUGGUGGGAUUCUGUUCAGGGCCAGGAGUUGGACUUUGAUGAUCCCUGUGGUCCCUUCCUAUUCAGGAUAUUCUGUUUCUGUGAUAACCGUGGGACUUUGUUGUCAUUUUAACAUAUCGCAGAUGAUUUCUGCUUUUCAGAAGGCGGCUGCACCACCCUGAUUCACCCACCUGGUUGGGUUCCUCGUGGCUACCAGCCCCACUGGCCCAGGCACCCCGAGCAGGGUGGCAGAGGGGCAUUGCUGUCAGUGUGAGGUCAGGCUGCUCUCCUGAGUCCUGCCAGUGCAGCACAGGCUGGGGGAGCAUCCCAGCUCCUCCCUGCUGCCCUGCUGAGGGCUUCUUCCUUGCAAAGCUUCCCUGCAGGGCAGAUAAGGACGUCCGGGUAGGGUGACAGAUUCCAGGAGGAGGAGAGGGGAGGUGGGGGAGACCAUCCCCUCUCUCUGCUGAUGCUGCUGCUGCUGGAGCUGUGCUGGAACCGGAGCCGUCGAUGUGGCUCCCCAGAGUUAGUUGCUCGGCAACCAGAAUCAAUUAAUAUGCUUUGCAGAAAGUGCAGGGAAAGCCCGAGCUGCUGUCAGCGAGCAGGCAGGAGGCUGAGGGUGACUCAGGAUCCCACUCCUGCCUGACACCCAUUUGGUCCCACCCCAUCUUCUCCAAACACUCUUCCCUCUGAUGACACCGUGAAUCUGGGAAUGAAGAACUUCUUAGAGCUGAUUGGAAAUGGCAUUGCGGAGCUGAAACUUAACUGGAGGAAAUACAUCUCCUGAAGAAGAAAAUAUAAUGCACUGUAAGGAUCUGUCUUCUGGUGAAAAAUUCAAGCCUAGAGAAAACUUGUCCGCUUUGUUAGGAAGAAUGGGUUGGACAAUUUUCUUCAGUUCCAAAGGAUAUCUGAAUGCCAUGCUGAGCUUAAUCUCUGCAGCAUGCUCUGUGCUUCUCAUCUCUUCCUGAUGCACUGCAUGGUUAUUCUGAAGGGGAGGAUAAAGAAACUGGCCACCAAGAUGGUAAUCACAAGUGGAAAUGAAGAAGAUAAAGGCAGUCAAGAAAAGGAAAGCAAAGAAGAAACCAUCUUGGCCAUGCUUGGAAUUAUUGGGACAAUUCUGAACCUCAUUGUGAUCAUUUUUGUGUAUAUUUAUACAACGUUGUAAACUAGAAGGCAUGCAAAUAGACCAGAUAAAACGGCCAUUAAGAGUGACAACAAACAUUGCUGACUAUUGACAAGUUCUUUAAUCAGAAUUGACUCUGUAUUAUAUUAACACAUCAUAAAAGCACUGCCUGAAGGCAGCGAAGACUGAAGCACAAUUAAUUUAACAAGACUUUUUCACAGUAAUAAGCUUAACUCUUCUCUCCUGCCCUCUCCCUUUUGGUUUGGUUUUCAGUUUGGGGGAGAAUGACUGCAGUUAUGUAAGUUGUAGCUUUGAAGAAAUCCACCAGGGAUAUGUUGUUUUAACACAAUUUAAAAAAAAAAAAAAAAAAGGAAAAGAAAAUAAAAGAAAGGAAAAAAAAGAAAAGAAAGAAACUGUAAACUAUAUAUAAUUAGAAAUGUAUGCUGUAUACCCGCAAAGAUUGAACUCAAAGAUAGCUUCAUAGCACAGAUCACGUGUCUGUUAGGUCAAAUGGUUUUUUCUCUUGGUUUUUGCUUUUACUUACAUUGAAUCUGACAAUCUUUUUAUUUAGAAUGAACAUAUGGUGCAAUCAUGAAAAAAACAAUUCUGUUGAGCAAGGUCUGCCUAAACCUGAUAAAAUGUUGGGAGAAAUAUAAUACAUGGUUAUUUUUCCUUUCUCAUUUGCUUAACAUCUGUGUCUGUUCAUACCAAUGUUUAUAAAUAUAUAUUUUUAAUAAAUGUGCUAUAUUUUUAGCAUGAACCAAAUAUUUGGAGACACUUGUAUUCAUGCAGCUAAAUUUUGUUUGAUUAAGUGCCCCUUUUGACAAUGGAUGUUAUUUUCCUCGGCAAUUAUACAGCAGUCUUGUUUGCAGCCCUCUCACUGAGGUCUGAAGCAAGCUCACAUCAUGCUCACAUGCAUGACUUGAAGUUGGAAUGUCAGCUGAAAAGCAUUGCUGCUUAAUAUGGGAAAUAGCAAAACAUUGUAAGGUGACCUUUGGAGACUGGUUGCAGAAAGAAGGCUCUAUUUAUAGUUAAAACAAGAAAAAGCCAAUGAAAGGAACACUGAGGCAUCUCACAAAAUAUUGCAAAAUUCAUAGAAUUUAUGGCUUUCACUAUCUGGUCACGCUCUCUAAGUACUUGUGCUGAGAGAAGUGAGCAGAGGUUUAUACAGUUGAAAAGAGAAAUUUAUAGAGCCUAUAGUGGGGGGCUGAAGUGAAAUCCAGAUUGUAAAUACAAAGUGUAUUUUAAAUGUGAGGAUCAUUAACUCUUUACGCUUCUCUGACAUGUGCUUUAACUGAGUUGGUGCAGUGAAAUUCUCUGACUUGUGUUUUUGACAGGAAUGUACAAUGAUGAUGAUCACCAUUUUUCUUCAGAGUUCAGUACCUAUAAAUAUACAAAGCAUUAAAAAUAUGAGACUUCAAUUCUGCCUCAAGCUGCCUAAGUACAUUGCCUACUAACUCUGAUAUAUCCUCUUAGAAAACAGGUCAAUUAAUUGUUUACUGAUUUGUGGCUUGGAUUGCAUCAUCAGAUGCACAAGGAGGAUUGGUAUUGAAGUAAGCUAGAGCUGUGAAAAUUUUGACCUUAGAAUCUUAUUAAUUUUAGUGAUCAGACCUGUCCCUCUGGAAUCAAUAAUGAGUUUUUCACCAUUUUCCAGGGUCUAGGAAUGAUCUCAAAAAUACAGAAUUUCAGUGCAGGAUAUAAAAGAAAGGCUGGAAAAUCCCAAGGGGUACCUCUUAGUCUCUUAUGGUAUCAUCCAGUCAAUAACAAAACCAUUAAGAGUAGAAAAAAGGUCAGUAAAUAAAUUACAAUGAAAUCCAAUAUGAAGACUGAAGGAAAACAAAGCAAAAAUAAUCUCAUGUUAAUACAAACAUGAUAGGGUGAGAGAGGUGAGAAAAUGAGCAGAGAUUUGAAGUAGAAAACAGCACAGAAAGUCAGUGCCAUGUAUGCCAGCAUGGCUGAGGGAACAUUUGUGUUUGCACAGUGCUGGUAGAGCUGCAGAUCUCAGAGAGGACAAGGAACAAUAAUGGUGCAGGACAGUGUAGUUCAAUGAAGAUAAUCUUGUUUUUUAAUUUAUAGCUAUUUAUUGGUAAUUCUAAGGAAUCAAUCAGCAAACUCUACUUUUUUAUCAUCCUGAUGGCUAAAAUAUAUUUUACUCCACUAGGCAUAUUUUCUUAUAUUUAAACUACUGCUGCUCACAGCCUGUGGCUUUGAGCACCUGCACAUGCUCCAGGCACCAGCCUGACUUCAGCCAGCCCCUUGCCUGCCAGGAUCUUCUCUGCAGAUAUAUUCUCUUGGACUUCUCCUUUUCCAGCAAACACCACAGCAAUCUGCCCAAGGCUCAUGCUUGUCUUCUAGAGGGACAUCCUAGAGUCAAAAGUCUCAUGCCAGAUAGUUCCUUGCCUCCCUCUGGCUCAAAAAGUAAUAUCUCUUCUUGAAGGCAUGAAGAUGCUUAAUGAAUGAAAUUUCAUGAGGGGUUCUACUAUUGUACAGAUUAAAACUCUUCAUUGGAAAACAGCAUAGGACACCACACCCACUGAAGCAAAGCAGGAGCUUUUGCUGCCCAGCCCAGUUGCACUCACUCAGACAUGGGCCAGCACCUUCAGCUAGUCAGGUAUGGCAAAUAGCCCAAACAGGCUGAAAUGGUGGAUCAAGGGCCAAAGGAUUCUGUUUUCUCAGCUGUGCUUUGCCUGUUAGUCCUGAUGGAGGCAGUGUGCCCAGCUGCACUGUCACCCCACACCAGCAGCAGCUGCAUGCAGUGUGCUCUGCCACAGGACUUCUAUUCCUCUGAAAGAGGAAGAAAGGUUUAUCCCAUUCCAUAAAAAGUUUAACAUUUAAUAUUUUAAUUUUACAGGUUUCUGUUCACAGAUAGUUCUAGAAAUAUCCCAGGGCAAUUUCUUCUUAAGUAGAUUCAUUAAGUAUUCAUUUAAAUAAAAAUGAAGAGUUUCUUUUGAGGACAAUUUCUUUACCUUUUAUUUGGUAUUCAUGAACACUGAGAGGGGAAAAGUAUGUUUUCAGGAAUGACAGUGGAAGAGGAAUAUUUUAUACAAGGAUCUGAAGGUGUGCCCACCCAGGCAGCUGUGGGUAGGCCUGUUCUUGGCUCAGUGACAGUUGAGCCAAAUUACCCUCAUGCUUUUUUUAUGUGAGCAGUUUUCAGCAUGCACCUAUAAGAAAUAUUCGACUAGGUAAUAUAUAUGUCAUGGAUACCUUAUAGUCAGUAACUGCUCUAUAAACAGUUGAAUAAAACUUCUCAUUACAAGUGUUGAAUGGUAAAUCUGCUUUGGCAAGGAAAAAAUCCAACAGUCUCAUUUUUGGCUUGACUUGUAUGUAAUGCAAACAGUUUCCAAAAUAAAUUUUAAAAAAUGAAGUAUUAGUCCAUUAGUGAUAGGAACUUUCAUCUUUGCAUUUGAGUAGAAAAAAAUUAAUAUCCAAGAUCAUAAUAAGAUAUUAAAGCAUCACCUUUUGCUUCAGGCAACUAAGAAUAUGAUUACAUAUCCUAUGUAGUUGAUGGUCUGUGUCAUGGGAAUGAAAUAUUUUUUCAUGAGGUGACAGAAAGAUGACACUGUCUCCAUUAUUGUCCGUGUUGGCUGGUGGAUACAGAAGAGUUUCAAGAAGGGAGAAGAUAAAACUAUUUUUUAUGCACACAAAGGAUUGGGAGAAAGAAAACAGACAGUUUACUGCCGUCCAGUCUGGUUCCUACAGCUGCAUUGAAAACUCAGCAUCUCGGGAACCACAUCUUUAUACAGGAAUGUAUCAUCCUGUCUGUUGGCUCUCAGGACAGUCCUUCCAGUUAUGUACCUUCUGCUCCUUCCACCUGCACUCUGCAGCAGUGUGUGGCUCAUUGUGCCUGAGGAGAGUUUGAGCACAAACCCAGCCUGGCAGAUUCUGGAAGCAGUUGUUUUGUUUUACUGUGGUGUAGCAAUCUACUAUGGGUCUAAGUUUUAUUAUUUUAAGGACAGUCAAUCAUCAUCAUCAUAUUACUCUCUGAUAAUCUAGGGCAUACUUCACUCUGUGAAUUCCCAGACAAAUCCCAUCCCUGGCCUACAGGUAAAAUUUUUAUUCAGUAGGCAUCAAAAUACAAAAGAAAGCUUCAAUUACAUCACAACCAAACUUCAAGCAUUGCUUGAGUCCAUGUGUCUUGUACUUCUCUUUAUCUGUACACUGGAGCUCACCCCAAAUGCCCCAAGAUCUCAUCUGUGUCAAGAGGUCUCAUAUCUUCUGAGUCAGAAUUACCAUUUGUGCGUGAAUUAUGGCAUAUACAGAGAACUUGGCCCAUCGACGGAAAGGAUAAAAAUUAACUGAAUUAGAACUCCAGGGAGGCAGCACUGCAGAAUUUACUAAUUAGUUUGAGGUCUAGCUGGAGUACUUUGUUUCUGGAUAGUCAAUAUUGUGGAGAAAAAAUAUUAUUGUUCCUUGGAAAGUUUCUGGAAGAAAUAUGUCUAAUUGAAAAAAAGAACUUCAUUGAAAAUAUUUCAGCAGCAGUCCUCCAAAGAAAACACUGACCAGGACUCUGAGUGACUUGCCUCCCAAGAGAGCUGUUUGGCAGCCCAAGAACACAGUACACAUAAAUGUAAGCACCUCAUAUUUACUGAGAGGCUUUGUCUUCUGUUGAACAGAAUGCACAUAUUUACAAAGAUUUACUAAUUUAUGAAA